rnacentral:lncRNA from 1 species
UGCAUGUCUUCUAAAUGAGUCAGUUGAAAAGCCAAAUUGAAGCCUUAAUAGUUCUGGAAGCCAGAGUAAACGAUAUAUACAUCUUGUGGGUCUUGUUAUGAAAUCAGAUGGUGUUAAUUUCUUGUUAUGAAAUCAGAUGGUGUUAAUUCAAGUGCUUUUGCAGCUGAAUUAGAAUGUGGGAAGUAUUGAUAUCUUCUACCUCUGUUGUUUUUUAUGGAAUGAAUGCAUGUUAAUUUCAUAGUUGCUUAUGCAAG